UCCCAAUCCACCGUCUGUCUUCCAAUUCCAAAUCCCUAACCUUCUCUUCCUUGACUGCCGAUCCACCUCCACCGUCAAGACCUCCACCAAUCCACCUCCGGUCCUCCACCCACUUCCAGAAUCAAGCGUUUAAGGGUUUGUUUCUUCCCGAAUCACCAAGUAGAAGCAAGCAUACAAGGGAGUUUGGUACAGGCAUUAGGUACCAGAUUCACUCAAUUUGUACAGCCUGUAUUUCAGAGGUGCAUAAAUAUCAUCCAGACUCAACAAUUGGCUAAG